CCCUGAGGAAAAGAAAUCAACCGAGAUUCCCUUAGUAGUGGCGAGCGAACGGGGACCAGCCCUUAAGUGGCUUGGAGAUUAGCGGAACGCUCUGGAAAGUGCGGCCAUAGUGGGUGAUAGCCCUGUACGCGAAAAUCUCCUUGUCAUGAAAUCGAGUAGGACGGGGCACGAGAAACCUUGUCUGAACAUGGGGGGACCAUCCUCCAAGGCUAAAUACUACUGACUGACCGAUAG
rnacentral:rRNA from 1 species